AUCGCACCAGGAGAUGACGUUCCUCCUUGAACCGCAGUGGAAACAGCGCUGCUGAUGACGUCUACAGACAC
rnacentral:ncRNA from 1 species